rnacentral:rRNA from 1 species
UGGCGGCCUGGCUGUCGGGGUGAGAGUGGCGAACGGGUGAGUAAUGCGUGACCAACCUGCCCGGUGCACCGGAAUAGCUCCUGGAAACGGGUGGUAAUACCGGAUGCUCCGCCCCACCGCAUGGUGGGGUGGGAAAUGCUUUUUGCGGCAUGGGAUGGGGUCGCGUCCUAUCAACUUGUUGGCGGGGUGAUGGCCCACCAAGGCGUUGACGGGUAGCCGGCCUGAGAGGGUGACCGGCCACAUUGAGACUGAGAUACGGCCCAGACUCCUACGGGAGGCAGCAGUGGGGAAUAUUGCACAAUGGGCGCAAGCCUGAUGCAUCGACGCCGCGUGCGGGAUGGAGGCCUUCGGGUUGUAAACCGCUUUUGUUCAAGGGCAAGGCACGGCUUCGGGCCGUGUUGAGUGGAUUGUUCGAAUAAGCACCGGCUAACUACGUGCCAG